rnacentral:rRNA from 1 species
UAGGGAAUCUUCCGCAAUGGGCGAAAGCCUGACGGAGCAACGCCGCGUGAGUGAUGAAGGUCUUCGGAUCGUAAAACUCUGUUAUUAGGGAAGAACAAAUGUGUAAGUAACUAUGCACGUCUUGACGGUACCUAAUCAGAAAGCCACGGCUAACUACGUGCCAGCAGCCGCGGUAAUACGUAGGUGGCAAGCGUUAUCCGGAAUUAUUGGGCGUAAAGCGCGCGUAGGCGGUUUUUUAAGUCUGAUGUGAAAGCCCACGGCUCAACCGUUGAGGGUCAUUGGAAACUGGAAAACUUGAGUGCAGAAGAGGACAGUGGAAUUCCAUGUGUAGCGGUGAAAUGCGCAGAGAUAUGGAGGCACACCCGUGGCGAAGGCGACUUUCUGGUCUGUAACUGACGCUGAUGUGCGAAAGCGUGGGGAUCAAACAGG